rnacentral:rRNA from 1 species
CGUGGAACGAGCGGCGGACGGGUGAGUAACACGUAGGCAACCUGCCUGUAAGACUGGGAUAACUCGCGGAAACGCGAGCUAAUACCGGAUAAUACUUAUUAUCUCCUGAUGGUAAGUUGAAAGGCGGCUUUUGCUGUCACUUACAGAUGGGCCUGCGGCGCAUUAGCUAGUUGGUGGGGUAAUGGCUCACCAAGGCGACGAUGCGUAGCCGACCUGAGAGGGUGAUCGGCCACACUGGGACUGAGACACGGCCCAGACUCCUACGGGAGGCAGCAGUAGGGAAUCUUCCGCAAUGGACGAAAGUCUGACGGAGCAACGCCGCGUGAGUGAUGAAGGUUUUCGGAUCGUAAAACUCUGUUGUCGGGGAAGAACAAGUAUGAUAGUAACUGAUCGUACCUUGACGGUACCCGACCAGAAAGCCACGGCUAACUACGUGCCAGCAGCCGCGGUAAU